UUUAGGGGGGGAGGGCGAAAAAUGGAAGGGGCGAGAAAGAAAUAGCUAUUUCUUUCUCGCCCCUUCCAUUUUUCCUCGCUCUCGCCUUCGC